UACGAAGGGGGCUAGCGUUGCUCGGAAUCACUGGGCGUAAAGCGCACGUAGGCGGCUUUCUAAGUCAGAGGUGAAAUCCUGGAGCUCAACUCCAGAACUGCCUUUGAUACUGGAGAGCUCGAGUCCGGAAGAGGUGAGUGGAACUCCGAGUGUAGAGGUGAAAUUCGUAGAUAUUCGGAAGAACACCAGUGGCGAAGGCGGCUCACUGGUCCGGUACUGACGCUGAUGUGCGAAAGCGUGGGGAGCAAACAGG
rnacentral:rRNA from 1 species